rnacentral:rRNA from 1 species
GACGAACGGUGCGAACGUUGUUCGGAAUCACUGGGCAUAAAGGGCGCGUAGGCGGCUUAUCAAGUCAGGGGUGAAAUCCGGCAGCUUAACUGUCGAAGUGCCCUUGAUACUGAUGAGCUCGAGGGAGAUAGGGGUGUGUGGAACUUCCGGUGGAGCGGUGAAAUGCGUUGAUAUCGGAAGGAACGCCGGUGGCGAAAGCGACACACUGGAUCUCUUCUGACGCUGAGGCGCGAAAGCCAGGGGAGCAAACGGG